UUACAACAUAUAUUCACUGAGGCAAAAGGGAUCCCUGUCUACCACUAUGAAUCAUUGACCCAUUUUCGGGCCAUUCUCAUUUUUCGAUCUAAACUAUAACUGCACUCGCACUUUGGCAUUGUGGCUCUACAUGUACCUAUCGUUUGUCCUUUCUCAUUAGAGGGACCACCGAUCAUCCUAGGAAGUGGCUCACCAACAUUUUUUUAG
rnacentral:lncRNA from 1 species